CACAGUGUCAGAGACCCCUGGGUCUUGCCUAUAACUAAUUUCUCUUUCAUCCCAAAUGCUACUAUUGAUUAUACCCACAAGCCUAUAAAUGUUACCUAUUGGGUUAUUACAACCAGGUGUUCCCAUACCUGCUUCAACCUUUCCCCAGUCAUAUCUGUACUAGCUCAACUGAACACGUUAUAAAAAGAGUUGCCUACAAUGACUCCAUUUUUGUACUUCGUAAUCAAUCUCGUUAAAAAAUGAAACUGUACUGUCGCUUCUGUUUUGCCAAAAUUAAUGUAAGGUUUUAGUUCCUUAGAUCUGCUCUAUCACUUUGAAAAUUACUGAACCUUUAGUUAAUGAAUAUUCCAUCAUUCUUCACAAUUUCUUAGAUUAAUGCCUUAUGCCCAUGAUGUUUAUAAAAUAUUACUUUUCCUAAUUGCUCUUUUUAUCCUUAUCGUCUUGCUAAGGUCACUCUAAAACCUCUACAAGCAUCUAAUUAUGCACUCUACAAAUUGAUUCAUCUGAAACUCCAGGUGGCUUCAUAAAGCCCCAGAUGAAUAAACUGCCUGAGAACCAUUUCCUGACUGUCCCCUUGUUGCUCAAAUGUGGCCGGAUCCUAAUGACAGUGACACCUUAAAACAACCAUCAAUGAUUAAAAAUUCUCCCCAACAUCAGACAUGACUUCCUGGGACAGGUCCAUCCCAGCAAUGAGGGACUAAGUUAUCUAUGAUUGAAAAAGUUAACAUCCCAUUUAUUCUGUGACUAAGAGCUCCACAUUUGUCAAGACAGUUUUUCCUUUGGUUUUAUUUCCUGUGAGUGCCUUUUCUCUGUGUAUCUUUUUGCAUUUUCUUUUAAGUUUGCAUCAUGUCCAUAUGUCAGCUAUUCAAAAAUCACUUUAAAAAUUGUUAGUGAUGUUGGGGAGCACCUGGCUGGCCCAGUCGGUGGAACAUGCAACUCUUGAUCUAGGGGUUGUGAGUUCAAACCCCACAUGAGGUAAUAGAGAAAUUACUUAGAAAUAAAACCUUUUAAAAAAUAUUUGUGAUGUUGGAAUACAUUCUUGAUUUAUAUACCCUACAAACAAUUUUGGAGUAUACCCUCCAAAACUUUCUAGUAUAUGAACAAGGGAAAUUGUGGCUCUUAAAACUGAAAGCCACUGUUAAUAGCCUUAAUAGACAGAAGAAGAGAUUCUAACCCUGUGGACUCCUUGCCAUAGAAUAUUUGCAACCACUUUCCUUAAGAUUUGUAAAGUCACCAUUUGUCACCAAUAACGGUAGCAAUGUUUAUGGAGAUCUUCCCAAGUGUCAAGCACCGUGCAAUGUACAUUUCACACAUUUCGAAUUCAUUUUCACGAAAACCUAAUUACAUAAUAGAAAACUAAAUCUCAGAAAGUUUCCUAGCUAGCAAGUGACAGAGCUGAGAUUCAAAUCUGUUACAGGUUUAUUAUAAGGGACAUAAGACUUAGAAGGAUUGAGCACAUCAAUGCAUUUAAAGUGCUUAGAACAGUAUUGCUUGCAGUAACUCUCUCCGCUCAGUACGAACACUAAGAUUCUGGCAUCAGGGAGGAAUUUUGUAAGUUAGAGAUAUGACUGAGUCUGCAAAACUACACGAAGUUAUUUUGAUGAACUGAAAUGUGUCCCAGUUAUUCUGUGACUAAGAGCUCUACGUUCAUCAAGACAGUUUUCCCUUUGUUUUUAUUUCCUAUGAGUGUCAUUUCUCAGAAGAUCUCCUGCCACCAGUUCAAAGUGAUUUGUGACCCCCUCUACCACCACCAUUUUUAUGCUUUUUUUAUCAUAAAGAUUCUUAGCAUAAAAUCAGAGGAAGGUAACAUUUUAAAGUGCAGCCAUCAGGAUGACCACCCACACAAGCACAAGUUUUGCUAUUGGAUCUUUCCUUUGUGGGUUUUCUUCUGUUUUGUUUCUACCCAAGGGAGAUAAGAACAGGUGAAGCAGAGAUGCCAUUUUCCAUUCCUAGGGCAUAAAGACAGUCUGAGAUCCUCUGUUCCCAUUGUGUGUAAAAAUAGCGACCACAUAACUGCCUGCUAUAUAAAACAAAGGAACAAGUACUAUCUGAGCCUGACUGACUGAAAACACACCAUGUUUCUGUAGUUGAAUGUCAGGCGCAUAAAAACAUAAAGCAAGAGAAAAAAGUACCUCCCAUUUGCCGCCAGAACCACACUGUCCAGUAUGAUAGUCACUAGCCAUGUGUGGCUAUUAAGCUCUUGGAUUGCAGCUAGUUUUAAUUGAGAUGUUAAUUGAGUUAUUUAGUUGAGGUAUAAGAUGCACACUGGAUUUCUAAGAAUUAGUUAAAAACAGAAUAAAAUGUCAAUAUUUUUAUGUGGAUUACUUGUGGAAAGGAUAAUACUUUGGGUUAAAUAAUACCAUUGAAAUCAAUUUUAUUGCUUUUCAUUUUUUAAAAUGUGUAUACUAGAAAACAUAAAAUUAACUAUGUAGCUUGCAUUAUAUUUGUACUUGGGAGCACUGCUCUCGAUUGAAGUCUUAACUUUGCCUUAAGUCUCUAGUACCUUAGAUAUAUUAAUAUACAUUAUUAGUAAUAUAUAACAUAAACAUAUUAAUAUCGAAGGUGGCUACGUUCGAAUCUAGAAAUAAGUACAUUUAUUAUGUACCUACUAAGAGUACAAAGAUUCAUAGUACAGAAUUCUUGUCCUUAAAAGCAAGUGAACUAAGAUUCAUUGAGUCCUACUAUGAGCCAGGCCCUGGGCAACCUUGCAAGCUAGAUAUUAUCAUUUCCACUCUACAGCUCAACUCCAGCUUCACAGCCUUCUCUAUCUGGGAGCCAGAAAGCUUCUUGCAACCGACAUGAGCAUAGGCACUGAGUUCUUCUCUGCACCCUUAGUCAUAAAUACCCUUCUUCUAACUCUGGCCUGUAUGUCUCAGUCUUUUGGGGCUACUGUAACCAAAUACCAUAGACGGGGUGGUUCUACGCACCAAACAAUUUUUUCUUACAGUUGUGGGGACUGGUAAACCCAAGAUCUGGUGCCAGCAUGAUUAGGUUCUAGUGAGGGCCCUCUUCUGGGUUGCAGACUGUGGACUUCUUGCUGCGUUCCCACCUGGUGGAAGGAGCAGGAAGCUCUUGGGGUCUCUUUUACAAGGGCAUUAAUCCCAUGUGAGAGGGCUCCACCCUCAUGACCUAAUCACCUUCCAAAGGCCCCACCUCCUAAUACCCUCACAUUGAUGAUUAAGAUUUCAACCUAUCAAUUUGGGGAGGGGUGUGGAUACAAACAUUCAGACUAUAGCGCUGUGUAACUUUCCCCAAAAUGGGUGGGUGGAUGUGUGCUUUCUGUAUUGUAUGUUCCAGUGACCAGACCUUUCUUUACCUUUAAAUUUGUGAACUUUGCAAUCCCGCAUUAGGUAAUUAACUGCACGGAGAUAAUAAUGAUAAUAGUGUCCAGGCUAGGAAAGCACAGAAACUUUACUUCUCAAAAUGAUUUACUUCUCAGUCAUCUUGGUUUCUCACCACAUGGCAUCACCAGAGGUUACUCUGAUUUUUCUUGAAGACAAAAGCUAUCAUUCUUUUAGAUCGAGUUCAUCUGAUAAGUUCUACUGUUUGCUGAGUCACAUGUUUUCGUUGUGUCUGUUUGGAUUUCCAACUGGUGUCUCAAACUUCACGUGCCCCAAACUGAGUUCCCGAGGUGCCAUCCCUCCCCACCUGUUUCCCCUUACGCUAUUCUCAGUCUCAGAAGAUCGACACUCCACUCUUCCCAGCAACCAGGCUAAAAAACUGGGGAGUUCGCCUUCGCUCUCUUAUUUCACACCCACAUGUAAUCUGCCAGCCUUGACAGCUCUCCCUUCAAAGUAACGUAUAGCUACACUUCAAGCAUUUCUCACCACCAAAUGCCAAUUGCCCUGGUCCAACCCAUCAUGGGGACUCCCGUCAGUUACAGCAAUGGCGGCCUGACUUUGUCCCCCUUCAGUGUGCUCUCCACAUAGCAGCCAGAGUUACCGUAACACAUCUUAGAUCGUUUCUCCUCUGCUCAAAACCCUCUGAGAGCACCCGCUGGCGAAUCCUCUUUGGUGGCUUUCAAAGCCCCCACACGCAGAUUUGAGCCAUUUUGGACUUCUUGCUAUUUCUCAAAAACAGAGGCAGUCUCCAGCUUCAGGGCCUCCCCACAAAAUACUCUUCCUCUGCCAUCCACCCAGAACACCUUCAUAAUGUCCUUCAGACCUCUCCUCCACUGCCUCCUCUCUACUGAGGACUUCCUUGACCAGCGUGUUUCACACCUGCAAUUGUUCUGCACAAACACUCCCUUCCCUGUUCUGUUUUUUUCUAUGACCCUAUUGCCGGCUACCAUACUGUGUCCUCUACUCAUUUAUCUCCCCCCACAAAGAAUUUAAACUCCACAAAAGUGGGGAUCCUAUUUUAUUUAUCACUAUCUUCCCAGUUCUUUGAACAGUGCCUGCCACAAAAUAGAUGCUCAAUAAGUACUUGUCAGGUGACUGAAUGACAUUUUCAGAUGAGGAAAAUGAGGCCCAGAGAAGCUCAGUUGUAGCCCAAGGUCACAGGAUUAGUGAGGGCAAGGUCAGGCCUGGGAUUUUCCGCCUGCGCUCAGUCUACUCUCUCCGUCUGGGUCAGGAGGUAAGAGGGGCAGCCGUGCCUUGGAAGAAGCACACAGGUUCAAAUGUGGAUUUUGCUGGAAGCGCUGAGCUGAAACAGAAACAACUGUUUUGGCAGCAUUUUUGACAGUCUGUGAGAUUAAGGAAAGUAAUGUGAAGGUAUAUGCUGAAGCUUUCCAGCUUUAAGACUGGCUUUAACUAUUUUUCUUUCAGCUGUAGCUUUCUGGGGUAAUGAAUGUACCAUAUGUCUGUAUCUCCAGGUUCUCAUACAAAUGAGGAAACUAAAAACGCCAGAUGAUUAAAACAGAUUUCUGCUUGUUUCCAUGGGAAAUCAACUGCUGUGAAACCUUCAGAGAUGAGAGAGAGUGUGUGUUCGGCUCAAGGCAUUCCCUGGUUUUACUGCCAACAUUGGAAACAGACAGCUUGGUGAGCAACAAGUAGACGGUGACCUCUCUCUUGCCAUAACCACCGUCACCAGCACCAGCAGCUUGAUUCUUCUCAGACAUGCUACCAAGGAUGUCGACAGUGCAGGGGUCUCCAACUCUUCACAUACUCAUUUACUUAUAACUGCUCAGCCAGGCUUGGCCGUCUUGCUUAGGUAGAAUGUUUCUCGGAGAGGCUACGUGGAGGACACUUAGGUUGUCUUCUGCCCAAAUAAACCACCAGUAGGACCCCAUGGAAUUAAGACCAUAGGUCAUAAAGCAUUUCAAAUGUCUUGCCCUAAGCUCAUCAAAA